AACGUAGGUACCAAGCGUUAUCCGGAUUCACUGGGCGUAAAGCGCGUGCAGGUGGUUGGGUAAGUCGGGCAUGAAAACUCUUGGCUUAACUGAGAGAAGCUGCUCGAUACUGCUCGACUGGAGGGCAUAAGAGGGAGAUGGAAUUCCGCGUGUAGUGGUGAAAUGCGUAGAUAUGCGGAGGAACACCAGUGGCGAAGGCGGUCUCCUGGUAUGCACCUGACACUCAGACGCGAAGGCUAGGGGAGCGAACGGG
rnacentral:rRNA from 1 species